UAGGCGUGCGCCACCACACCCAGAUCUGGCUAGUUUUAACCUUUACUAUAUCCUCCUGUUAUCUAGAAUUUUACCACUACUUUGGUUUAAAAAGUAGAUUUCCGGCUUCGUCAUUUGCCCUGGAGGUCGCCCAACCACUCUGCCCCUGCUUGUCCAGGCUCGCGACCCUGUGCCAACGGCCUUCGGGUCUUCAGUAACCGCCCGUGAUGCCACUGGCGCACGGCGGGCGGGGGCGGUGGGGUUCCAGUGUCCUACAAGCCCCGGGGCGGCCCCAUUCCGGGGAGGCGAGCCCUGCACACACCACCCUAGGCCCUUGACUGCUGGGACCAAUCAAGGCCAGACUCGAGUUCCGGGAAGGCGCCACCUCUGUACCAAGCCACAGUGGAGAAGCAAGGGGACCCAUAGCGCCGCUCCUGGAUUCCAAAGGAGCCCGGGCAGCCCCUGCGACAGCAGCCGAAGCCGCACCAUCCCCUGGCCUCCCCCGCCCACCCCGCGCCGGACACUACGCCGCCGCGAGGCCACAGAAGACGAUUUCCGCAGUCCGCAGUCAGAAAGUGCUCGAACCGCCUGUGCAGACCACAGCUCUCAGCGCGGCUACGGCGGAAAAUGUUUCCUGGCUGCCCUGAGAAGACGGAGUACGCUAUGCCCUGAGAAGACGGAGUAUACUGUCCCGCGCGGCGGAAACGCGCGCCUAGAAGUGACAGAGCGCGUCCAGAAUGGCCUCGGCCCUUGAAAGCAUCACGAAGUUUCCUGGCAGCUGUAGAUACUGUGAAGAACACUUUUUUUUCAAAUGAGAUAUUACAAAUCUUGUAAGAAGCAUCAGGUGAACAUUUCUACCUCAAAAAUUUAGUGCUUUAAAACCAGCUUCUUUGCUUACCGUCGUUUUUUGCACCCCACAUCGUCCUCCAGGACUCCAUUUGCUGACCAGUGUGCAGAUUCUUCAGCGGUUUUUGGCAAGGAUCUGACAGUGACCUCAAUAGCAACUUAUGUAUUGCUGGAUUAAGAAAGUAUUUGAGAUCAUCUACUACAUCCACACAAGUGACUAGAUUAACAUGUCCUUCAGAAGUCAUAUAAUUAGAUUUUUUCAGUCAGGUCACUGAAGAUCAUCUGGUCUAAAUCCUUCAUAAAACAAAGAUAAGAAGAAGAGGAUGAUAAAGAAUAAAAGAAGCCUAGAAAAUGCAUUUUUAAAGACACAUACCAGCAGCCAGCAAAUAUUUAACCAACUCCAGGUGUCCCUCUUGAGAAGCCUCCAUCAGAGG